AUCAAACACAUGUAGUACUGGAUCAUGCCAAAAUGAAGAAAACUUUUAGACAUACCUUAAACUUGUUGAGUCCUUAAUAUCUUCCAAGCAACUCUUCAAACAACUCAACUCAGUCUACCAUAGAAUAAGGAGAUUCAAAUUCAAUACUGAGUAAAGGCUAAGUAUGUAACUUAAGCUAGUAGCUCGUUUUAUGUAAAUUUGGGUAGCAUAUCCAUUGUAACAAGGGCCUCCUCCAAUGCCAUAUACUAACAACAAAAACCAUAGCAAUGCAAUAAGAACAACAUCAACAGUAGGGUACAAAAUAUUUCAUUAACAAGUCGUCAACAUAUCACGACGAGCGGCAACCUCGGAUUGAAUCCCUUCAUCACCCUUCAACCCCAUUAUCACUCCUUAUAGACUUCUUACAUUAACUUAACAUCAUCAUUAAAAUGAUAAUGAAUCCAUUCAUCAUUGAUUCCAUCCUUAUACUAUAUAUUUAUAACAAAGAAAACAAUUCACAACUCCAACUAUCUUCAAUUAGCAACUUUAUUCACUAGUUCAUGUCUAGUACAUCCAUUUAACUUAAUCAACAUCAAUAUAACCUUAAGUACAUGCAAGAAAACAAUAAAAAUACCUCCUAUAGUAGCUUCAAGUCGUAAUCUAAGUUAUAUUUAGCUUACAACAUCCCUCAAUGACAAUACGACACUAUAGAAGUGACUUAAGCUACUCCAAGUAUUAUCUUGUAGUUUAUCAUCCUAACAACAUAACUAGCAUAUAAGAAAGCUUAAGAACAAUAAGUAGUCUAUUAUAAUCACCUUAUCUAGUAGCAAAAACUUGAAAUUUUAGCCAAACACAUCCCACAACUAUCCUCAAUGACAACGCAACCUCAAAAAGGUGUUGUUCUUCACUAGAACUAACUUUUGAUGUUGAAAUAUGGUGUAAUCCAUUUGCAAGACUUGAAAUAAUAUAGGUUUGAUAUGAAAACCUUUGGAGAGUAUUUUAAAGAACUUAAACCACUUAAAAAACCUCCCACAUGAGCUGGAACCACCCAAAAAUCAGCAAUAAUAAGAGGAACAAGCAACUUACUAGUGCGAGGGGAUUUUCGACACUUGAUUUGUGUUGUUUGCCCUUUGUUUGGGUCUUGGUUCAUGAGAGAACCUUGAGAGAGUGUUUUUAGGUAUAUAGAGUCUGAAGAUACUCAAAAAUAAUGAGUUAAACCGGGGUUGAGGUGUCUUAUAUAUAUCAAUAUAUCUCAACCGCCAUUGUGGGUCCUAUAGAGAGUUGCUUGGCGUAGUCUCGCAAAAAUGCGAAUAUCUCUCUACUUCAAUGUCAUAUAGACAAACGGUUUAAUGAGUUAGAAACUAGACUCAUAGAUAUUCAAUUUUGUAGGUAGAUCACCCCAUAAUUUGAAGUAAAUUGAGAGAACAACACAUCUAAAUUUCAGCACAUUUAUGAAUGUAACUUUACCAACUUUUGUUUCACAACUUGCUUGACUUAAAAACAUAACACACGACUAUCAUACGAAUAAAAUAAAUCAUAACAUAACCUCCUUAUCUUGCUAAUCACCCAGUCACAUCACAAAAGUAUACGUUAUAACAUUCCCAACUUGUCGACAUUUGACGAAACUUAUUUUCUUCUAUUUGUUUAGCUUCUUAUCCUUUCAACCCUCAUGGUACUUGUUAUCCAUGAUCUUAAAGAUUUGUAAUCUCCAAGGUAACAUGAUUAACUUACUUUGUAUACUCUCAAAGAUGAUCUCAUUUUUGAGCUUACAUCAAUUGACUUACGAAUACUCUUUUGUAUGAAGGUAUAAGAUGUAACAUGAUUCCCUCCUUUGGAACAUUCGUCCUCAAAUAUUGACUGAUGUGCUUAUCAGUCUCAUAACCUAUAGCUCUUGCAAAUACUUUACUCCUGCCCUUUCCACCUAGGCAAUUGUUCAGUGAAUUAAUCCAAAGGCCAGAACAUUCCCCCCCUUUAGGAAUCUUUCUCACACCAUGACUUGCGGUUGGAAUUAUUCCAAUCUCGUAACUGUUGCUAUCUUAUGUCAUGCAGCAUGUAUGACAUUGUCCUUAUGUGCGCCUAUGUGACUCUUCUCUCAUUUUUCCUUCAGCUUGUAGCCAAUCUCUAGGCCUUACUUUGUGAACAUAUACAAAAUUAUGACAAGCUUUCUCUCUGGGAAUCUAUAGGUGUACUAAAGUUUUUUACUCAGGUACUGUCAAACUUACGACUAUUGCUAUAUCUUGUUUCAUAGCCUUGGUUAGUUAUGCUUAUGGCUUUACUAUGUAUAUGUAGUUUAUACUAUACCACAACACUUACUUUGAUUUAUUAUGGCCAAGGUCUACUAUCCAACUCCAGGUUACUCUCUCGUUGUUUAUCUUAUAUGUAUAAAUUAAGUCCCUUAAUGCUUCCUCAUUACUAUUCAUCUUAAGAAUGACAGCCUAAUCUCAUCUCACACUUUGGAACAUUCAUCCAUCCAUUAUUGAUUCACCUUAAUAUUGAUCUAUAAUCUACCGCUGAUCACUUGAAACCUCUCAUGUAAUAUAUUGUCACUAGGGCUCACAUCUCAUUUGGGAACAUCUGGAGUUAUUUGCCUAGUCCACUUAGGGUUAAUAAUAUACUUCAAUAAUUGUAUUUCAUAGCAUCCCAACGUAAUUCAUAUUAUGGGGGUAUUUUAAUCUUGUACAAUUUAUGAAAUCCCUUUUCUUUGAAUCAUUACCCAAUCAAAGGCAUAAACGUCAUCCUCUUAUCUAUCACAAUUACACCCUUAUUUUACCACUAGGGCAUCAUUCCAUCUCUUCUAAAUUCUCCUAUUCUUAAACUCCUCUGAGUACAAUCAUGUUAUACUGAGCUUUUUAUAACUUAGGAAACCAUCAGCUCUCUUGUUGUGAUGGGUUUAAUCCCGAUGACUUACCUAUUCUCGUCACCUUCUCACUAACUUUUUCUUAUCCUUACUCCUGUCUACCUAAAACUUUGUUGCUCUACCAUACUUUAGCUUGCGACCUACAUAUAUCUAUUUAUACUAGUCGCAACCUUCCUUUAAUUUGCUAGCGCCAUAGAUUUCCUUAUGUUAUUCUGGAACCUCGAGCAAAACAUCAUAUCGUCUCUAACUCUUCUGUACUCUCUUAACUAGACCUCUCUGUACCUGGAAACCAUAGGCUGGAAGAUACGCCACUGACGACAACACUAUUAUUUCUUGAUACAGAAAUACGACGCUUCCAGCCCUCUAUCUGAUAUUUGGAUUAUUCGUAGCCUUCUGUACUUGGGCAUCUCUUACCUUCUUCACUUAUACCUUACUUACCUUUAAAUCUUGCAUCAUAUCUCCUAUCUCUUUCAUAACCUCCCUUCCAUAUAGGUGGAAUUCACAUCCAUACCUUAAAGCUCUACUAUAAUACUUGCACAUCAUGUGCAUACACAAUCAGGCGAAGGCUUCAUACUAACUUCUUAUGAGGUUGUUACUGUUCUAACUAGAUUUAUCGUAGAGCCAUUAUAGAAUAUGGUUGUUGCACUAUCUCUUUUGUACCUCUGAUAUUUAGAGUGAUGCUACAAUGUUCUGAAUCAUGAUUUCUAUACUCAUCGGGAUUUAAUAAUCAGACUUCUAAUUCACUUAGCUGGUGUAACUCUUUAGUUUCCUCUUAUAUCUCAGCCUUUAAAUAGGCUUACUUUAUCUUCUGAUCUGCGGCUUGGGGUAUUAGUUAUUACUUUAUCCCCUCGUGGGUUCUAUGGAACAUCCAUGAUAUAACUUUCUAGCAAUUCAAGCUUUUGUCUGUGACGUGGACUCAAUUAUUUCUUUUAACUUAUACUGCAGUAUCCUAUGGUUGUUCAUUAUCAACAUAUAUGUUGCAUGGAUAACACUCUAAAAUCUUAAGUGUGUUUAUAACGUAACUAACUCUGGGUCAUAGAUCGAAUAAUUCCUUUCGUGCCUUCUCAGCUUUCGUUAAAAGUAGGCAAUUACUUUUCUUGGUCGUUCUGCCACUUGUUGCAUGAAUACUUGGCUUAUCUUAGUGCCCAGAUAUAUUGCAGUGAGAUGUUGUAGUGAAUAUAGGUAUAUUGCAGUAAUAUUACUUUGGAUUUUACUUCCCGUUCCUUAGUCACAAUAGGUACCACUUUCUUAUAGAGUGCAUACGAUGUUGCAGUGAGACUAUUGUUACAAGACGAUUAUUUAUUUAGGUCACUAUGAUUAGUUUGAAGCCUUCUUCCUUAUUUCUUCAUCUAGUCUUUCAUUGUAGCAUUUAAGGAAGAUUCUCUUACUCUUGUAAAGCUGUGAGCUUAUCCCAUCAUAUACCUAAUGGAAUUUUUGAUGUUCUUACUCACCUAUAAAUAUUCUUAGUUACAUACCUUCGUGCCCUUGUUCUCGUAGGGUUAUUUAUGAACUCAGAUUUUUUUGUCUCCCCCGUGGCACUCUCUUUUGUUUCUGUAACACUUUUAUGGAAACUAUUACUACCUCAACUCCUACCUAAAUAUUUCUCAAGGAUUACGAUGUUGUAUCUACGAAACUGAAUUCCCUAUGCUGGGGUUCACUAGGUUUAUCUUGCAUGAUCUACUAAUUUAUAUGUAUCCUCUUGUCUAGCCAUAACUAGGCUCUUCCUGAAUCAACUACUAACUAAUCGUUGGUCCAUUCUCAUACCUAUAUUCUGCGUAAUCUCUCUUGGGUUGUUUCCUUUGUCUUAACUUACCUCUCGCACUGGACCCUUAUGUAUCAAGUGUUCAUUCGCACUUAUUUAUCAAUAGCAUCAUGGGAGGGAACCCUUACUGCAUUUCCCAACCAUCAUGCUUGUAUAAUGUUUUGGAGUCAUAACAUAUAUGUACGAUCUGAAUAAAUACAAUCUCACCCAUUUCGUCUUUUAUCGCAUUCUUCCUUUACUAGUCUAUAGUUACUUCCUCAUCUUUGACAUCUUUUCACAUCUUCACUGACUCUUACUCGCCUUGCGGUAACCCUUCUAUACCGGGGAUAACUUAAUUUCUUAUGUGCGAGGGUGACACCUAGUAUAACUGGCACAUUUAGUCCCUUAAGCAUAACUCUGCUCACAUUGCUUGCUUUAGGGAAGCGUCUUCCUGAAUGACCUUUAAAGGUUAUUCUUCCGUUGUCCAUUCUAUCAUUUACGGAACACGAUUUCUGAAAUUCUGAUGAUACUGACUAUUAUAGAAUCCUUUGGUCCCUAAAUCAUGUUCGAUUUUCUUUCUUGUUUACUAGCCUAUGUUGAUUUCUAUUACUCCGGGGGGUCUAACUUAGCCUUCUGGUAAUUACGUUGGAGUCACCAACUCAUUUUCUCAAAAUGAGGAUAUGACUUUAUGGUUUAUACUCUUUUAUAGUCUCAAGGCAUGUCAGCUCUUGUCUUUUCCUUUACCUGACUAUAGACUAUUGUCACACCUCCUUUUGCUUACCCCCCGGAAGAGUGUAUAUAAGAGAGCUUUUCCAAUUAAAGGACAAUCGAAAUGAGAUUUAUUUAUUUAAAGAUUCAGAGUCGCCACUAGGGAGAUUUAUGGUGUCCAAAGUCACCGGUUCAAAUCCCGAAUCGAGGAAAAGGAUUGACUCUGUUUAACAGUUCGCGAACCAGAAAUCCGAGUAAGGAAUUUUGUUAACCCGGGAGAAGGUGUUAGGCACUCCCGAGUUCCGUGGUUCUAGCACGGUCGCUUUGAUUAUACUUGGCUUACUAAAUUGUCUAAUUACUUAUUUUUAAACCUAUGUGCAUCUACCCCGUUAACCGUUUUUAUUUGCUUAAUUACUAUUAAUUAUGGAAUUAUCUUUAAAAAAUGAGUCACGCGUACGUGUACUCAUUUCAUUUGGCGCGUCAAAAAUUGUGUCACACGUACAUAUCCACAAUUAAUCACGCCUUAUUAUUAAUAAGAUUGUUUCACCCAAAAUUGCGCGAACACAUACCUUGGUUUUAAUUUCUGGAAUCGUAACUAUGUCACGCGAACGUGUACACAACCACGAUAAUUUAUUAAUUAGAUUAGUGCCUAAAGCAUACUACUGUGCUCUUCAGCACAUUAGGUUAUUUAUGAGUGUUUAACCCACUUUUAGUGAUAAAACUAGCUACAUGGCAACUGCAACUUAGGAAUAUACUCAUAUGAGCCUUACAAGAAUGUGGUCAACUCUUUUAAAACUUCAAGCAUGAAAAAUCAGUACCAAUAUCAACAUUAACUUCACCUUAAUUUAACACUUAAACUAGAUAUCACUCUGCCUCAGAUCAAUCAUCGCAAGGCAUAUGUUUGCAAAGCAUAACGUAGUUACACAUACAAGCACAUUAAAGUCUACAAUUAUUCAACAGAUGAAAGUAAAAGGCAAAUUCAUAAACAACAACCUAUAUUAGUAAAAAUAGUUACUGGAGUAACGUUCAUGUGUGUAUCAAAGUUCUAAUAACUCAAUAUAAAGAAGCAAAUAGCUAACAUUUCCUCAACAAAAACCCAAUUUUUUGGUUUGCAAAACUCGAAAAAAAAUGUGUAGUAGAUAAAACUAGUCAUUUACAAAGUAACACGUACCCUUUUUCUUUUCUUGGAGGGCGUGAUAGCAGAAUUGGCUCUACUGCUUCAGUAAUUAGUCUUUUUCAGCAAAAUACGAAAACAACGAGAUUCUAGCAAGGACCACGAACGCGAUUUUGACCGGAGAACCUCGACCACAAACUCGACAAUAACCUCGACGGACCUGACACGGCGACCUGAACAGAUUCACUCGACAUGGAUUUGGGUAGCGAUUUCGAGCUGACUUUCGCACUGAUUUGGGUUAGUUUCAGGGAGUUUUGGAGCUAGGUUUACCUCUAGGUUCGAACCCGGUUCGCCGGAUUCUAUGGCAAGUCGUCGGAAUCACACAUUUCUGGUCAGAUUUGGUUUCGUCUAUAUGUGCGCCCUACUGUUUCUCGACAACAAAACGGGGAAGGUUCGUGGGUUGAUUUUUCUGGUUUUCAAUCGGGGGAGAGGAAGCAGCAAUGAUGGGUUCUUCGGCGCAGGUCUUUGGUCGUUUGGAGAAGACGAUGGGCAGGGGGGUCUCUUGUAAAGGCUGCGCUGAUUUUACUUUUUAGCUUUUUGUCCCUUUUUUGUUUUUAGCCUUCUACGUUCUUUUUUAUUUAUAUAGUCUAGGUUUUUGGUAGGGUUUUAGGUUAAGGGGUAUGAGCCUAGGAAUUGUGGGCUUGACAAUUGUGGGCUAUGUCCAAAAUUAGGCCUAAAGAUGGGUUGCUCGAGCCCAAGCUCUAUUCUUUCGUUGCGAAUGAGAUUAAAAUACGGGCCGAUUUGUUAAUUAUUCCUACUAUUCAAAUAAUUAUUAAAAUAAAACUAACCAUUAAAACAAAUCUAUUUUUGGUAUUUUCAAAUAUCAUAUUAAAAUAAAAAUACGAUACUAUUAUUGUAUAUAUUUUUUUAAGAUUUUUAUUUUUAGAUUAAAAAUGACUACAAAACAUUAAUGAACCUAUUUUGUGAUUUUUUGUUUUCUUGUAAUAAAAUAAAGUAAAAGAGUCAAAAUUACUUAAAAUAUCUAUAUUAUGCCUAAAUUAAAUAUUUUACGCCAAUAUAUAAAAAAUCUUGGGGAGGGUCAAAAAUCACAUGUCUACAGCUGCCCCUCUUUGACUGGAAACGUACAGAGUUUUCAGACAAAGACUGACUAGACAGGUUUUUUGACUCGACCCUUAUUUGGAGAGACUAAAACUGAAAAAGAGGGGAAUGUGACCAAGCUCUGGUAUUUGGACUGCCUACAUAUCCUUGGCUAUAAAGGAAUCAAGCCACGUGUAGUUCAGAGAUGAGUGGGAUGACGGAGUAUGCCGAGGUGGAGAUCCGGUCGAGGUGCCGUUCUGCCGAGAUUCCGGUCCGUGGUCCCUGUUAUUACAUCAAAAAUCAAAUGAAAAAAUACUAACUAAACCUUUCAACUACGAGUUACAAGGUUCCUAUCUAUAAGUCUUCUGAAGCUUGAUCUUGAGUCUUGAAUGGUUCUUCAUGCAGACUUUAGAUUUGAACCUUGGCGCUUGUUAGCUGCAGGUGCUAGCUCGUUCUUCUACAACUUUUGGAUCAAGACCGGACAUGUAGUGCUUGUGACUUCCACCAUGUCUUAAGCAGUUCACAUCUUUCAUCAACUUCUGCAUUUGGAUUCAUUUCUUGCCUUUCUCUCUUUUUCUUUAUUGUGACUAACUUCUGUUGAUAACCUCGGACUGUUAACUCACAUUCUUGCCACGAGAUUCUUUGGUUGCUGACUUGAAUUGCAAUCUGAGAUGUUUUUCCUUUUCUUCAGGUGGACGCCUGACUGUUGAACUCGAACCAUCUUCUCUUGUUACUUGACAUUGUUUUCCCUUGCACAUUGAACCAUUUCCCCUGAAACUUGAACUGUUUUCCUUCAAAACUGAUUUCCCUAGAAACUUGAGUUGUCUCCCCUUGUUCUCCAGGUGGGCGCCUGAUUACNNNNNNNNNNNAACGAAUCACAUUACCAAAUAUCAAUAAGAACUUUAAAACUAAAACUUGAAUUGUACUCCCUUGUUCUCCAGGCGGGCUCCUGACUGUUGAACUUGAAUGUAUUCCCUGCUCUCCAGGCAGGCUCCUGACUGCUGACUUGAAAUGUAUUCCCUACUCUCCAGGCGGGCUCCUGACUGCUGCGCUUGAAAGUACUCCCUACUCUUCAGGCGGGCUCCUGACUGCUGCAUUUGAAAGUAUUCCCUGCUCUCCAGGCGGGCUCCUGACUUCAACAAUAUAGACGAAAAACAAAGAAAAUUUUCUGCCCCAGUUUGGUGGCUGGGUACAGAUGUGAGUGUAAAACUAAAUCAUAUUACCAAGUAUUACUAAGAAUUUGAAAGCUUGGUCCCAUUAUCCAGGGGGUCCUGACAACUCUUAAUUAAAUGACAAUUUUAAAUCUAAUUUAUGUCUUCUAAAGGUGUAACUUCUGCUAAACCUUGUUAUCUAAGAGGGUCUUUAAACUACUCCCCAUUAUCCAAGAGGGUCUUGAAAAUCAAAAGUCCAAUUUUAUCUUAAGAGUGAUAACUUUUACGGCUGAAUUAUGCUACCCUACAACAUACUUUACGCUAAAUGUUGUUAUCUAAUCGAAAUCUUAAAGUUAGGUCCCAUUAUUCAGGAGGGUCCUGAAAACUCAUAAUUGCGUCCUAUCUCAAACAUGCAAAUUUCUAAGCUAACUUAUAUUCCUUUGGGAUACAUUUAUGUUAGAUUAUGUUAUUUCUGAACUUUAAAAUAGGUCCCAUUCUCCAGGAAGGUCCUGAAAAUCAAAAAUCAAACCUAUUUGGUGACUGCCUUUCUCUACGAAGGGUUUCUCUGAAACAACCGAAAUUUCCUGCCCCUGUUUUAAUCAAAAGAAAAAUUUUGUCAGUUAAAAAUGUGGUGGUUGGUUUGUGGCCUUGAAUUUGAGAGCGAUUGCUCCUUCACUUCCCAUGAUAACUGAUUUCCACUCAAGGACCUUGAUUGUUUAUGGACUAACCACUUUCUCUGUCGUCCUUAUCGUAGAAAAUACCCCUUCUCCGUUCAGACCAAAUUCCCUCCAUCUGUUGCAUUGCUCAUGAACUGACAUUUACCAACCUUUGUGUUUUACCGAAAAUACCUUUGAUUCGUUCACCUAACACCCUCCAUCUUGUUGCAUUUCUCCUGAAUUGAUAUGUACCAAACCUUUGUAUUUCACAUGAAUCCCAAAUCACGUCAAUUACCAUCCACUCAAUGUGCAUGUUGUUCUUUCCUGACUUGACCCACUGGUAUUGGCCUUGAGGUCUAUUGCUCCUUCACUUGCCACGAUAACUUUGAUUUCUGCUUGGAAGACCUUGCUUGUCACUAGUUAAAAAUUUUCUUUGCUAAUCUCAUCACAGAGAAUACCUUUGACCCGUUCACCCAACAUCCUCUAUCUGUUGCACUGUUCACGAAUUGAAAUAUACCAAACCUUUGUAUUUCUUAUGGACCCCAAAGCAUGUUUAUUGUUACCAACUCAGUGCGCUUGUUGUUCUUUCCUGACUUAUGAUACUGGCCAGAUCCCGUUUUGUGCAAUUGGAAAGUUGGUGGCAAAUUUUGAAAUCAUUUCUCACUUAUUUUUACCAAACAGACUCGGGAAGAGGAAGUAAACAAGACAAAGGGAACAGAGUAAAGCACAAAGGAAAGAGAUGAUUCCUAACAAGAAAACUACAAAGUAGAAACAUAUCAGAUGUGGAUACCAACUCUAAUGACCAUGACAUAUACCUGUGGCCUAUUCUAUUGAGCAAGUAUGAUGUUCAACUCUUGUUAUACCCCCUAAACCGUGAAACUGGGCUUCAAUACUCUAAUUAUCCAAUCUGAUGCACAAUCCUUAUUCGACUUGUAGUGCCCGGAGAGUUUUCACCAUCAAGCCUCUCUCAUUUGUUCUUUCUCUCAACUUACCGUCGCCUUAUGGUGCCCGGGAGGGUUUUCACCAAUAAGACUCUCUCAUUUUCAACAUUUUUCUGCUUGAACCAGAGUGUUGCCCCUGACAUGAAUUACCUUUACCUGCUCGACUUGGCAUUUCUCAAAGACUUAUCAGAAGGUCUUCUUUGGACCGUAGCGCGGGCUUUUGGACUGGGUUAGAAAGAAAGGGUAUAAAAGGCUCAAUACAAUUCACAUGGGUUUAAAAUUACAACUUUCGGAAUCAGAUUUCUUACAACAACCAUAACUUCUGUCCCAGUUUCUUGCUUGGGGACUUUUGGAUUUUUAUUUUGAUAGGACCGAACCGUGAGGCUGCCUACGUAUCCUUAGAAGGAAUCAGGUUGAACGUAGUUCAUGUCAUAGGAAUUACUUUGUUUGUUGUGAUUUUUCUUUUCUUUUUCUUUUCUUUUUUUUUCUUUUUCUCUUUUUUUCUCUUUUCUUUACUUCUUUUCUCUUUUUUGUUGUUUUGUUUUUUUUUCUUUCUUAUUUUUCAUCUUUUUCUUUUUUUUCUUCAAUUUUCAUCUUUUCUUUUCUCUCUUUUCCUUUACUUAUCUUUCGCGCUUGUGUUUCUGAUCUUUGCUACUGAUUCCAAAAGAGGGGUACGAAAUGAAGUAAGUAAGGCUCAAAGGGGAUAACAAAGGAUAAAGUAUUUAGAUAGCAGAACAAAAUGCCUUCGUCAUUCCAAUCUUCAAAAUAUGCCAAGUACAAACAACACAAUUAAACAAACCAAGGAAAACAUUCGUAACAUCUUUUGAUUACGCCAGACUUGAUGAUCAUAUCCACACAUUCGUCUUUUACAUCUGUUAAUUACCAAGCCCCAGGGGAUAACACCCUCACUCUCAUUACCACGAACGGCUCCUGUCAAUUUGGGCAAACUUGCCUUUAGCUUCAAUCCGAUGCGGCAUGAUACAUUUCAAUAAGGUUUCUUUAUGUUCUAUCUGCCCCAGUUUCACAAUUCGGGCUUGAAGUGAUGUCAAGAUGCCUUUAUUAUUAUUUUUUCCUCAAAUGUCUCUAUCAUCUUCAAAAUCGUUUCAUUGCUUCAUGACUAAACUAACUUUUUAAGACCAGGCUGAGAAUUACGCGUGCAUGUCAUGUCACUAGAGUCAACAGGAAAAGGACUAUAAAAGGAAAAGAGAACUAAACAAAAAUGACUAAAAAUAAUAGAAAAUAGGAAAUUGCAUUAGACAGAUGGUAAAAGGGUUUGAACAACAAAACAAGCAAACUAAACUGGGUUACAACCCUGAAACAAACCUAGACAACACUAAACGAGUUACUACGAAAAAUAAACUAGGCAAAAUAAAAGGAUAGAAGGGUUUGAAUCACAAGACAAUAUCCGGAUUACAACCCUGAAAAUAACCUGGACAACAGAAAUGACAACAAAAUAAACCACCUAGACUCCUCUCCAGCUAGCCAAGAGAUGAAACGUCUUUCCAAUUACCAAGCACGGCAUCUUAGCCACUGGGUUCCACAUCAAUAUUACCAAAACCAUUAACAACUUUAAUAUCACUAACUUCAGUCCGCAAGUUCCCAGGAGGAUUCGCAUGCUCCCUGUCACUGUCAUUGAACACAAUUACCCCUUCUUGAAUCAUUCUUUCUAUUUCCCUUUUCAAAGAACGACAAUCUUCAAUGCUAUGCCCUUGGACAUUAGAGUGGUACAUGCAUCGUACAGUAGGAUCAAAGCCUUUUGCAUAUGGGUCUGGAGUAUAGCCGAGGAGCGGCUCAAUCAGGACAGAAUGCUUUAACUUUUCAAACAAGCUUGUGUAGGACUCCCCAAUUGGUGUGAAACUAUUUCUUUGCCUUUGUUCCCUUCCCUGCCCCUGUUUUCUAGGGUUGUUGGGUGCUCAAAAAUGUUGUGAAGGCAAGAAUGCAUUAUGCGGUGCUGGCGCUCUCCAUAGGGAGUGACCUGGUGGUUGGACAUAUGACCCGACAUUGUUCGGAGGAUAAUACUGAGGUGGAUUAUGUGUAGCUCGGGGACAGAUUUAGGGUUGGAGUUGAGGCUGGGUAUAUUGGUGAGUCGGGCCCUUUGGUCCAUGUCGUGACUCUGAAAAAACCAUGGCAACAUCAUCGUGUUCCUUCUGACCCAGCAAGCUUCCUAUGUCAUUCGGAACUUGUGUUGUUGCUUUUAAAGCAGAAUAGCUCAUGAUCUUGCUCGACUUCAACCCAUCUUCUACCAUUUCUCCCAUUUUACCACAUCAUUAAAAGGCCUACCCACAGCCGUGAUCAAAUGCCUAAAGUAAGUUGGCUCUUGAGCUUGGAGAAAGUACUCGACCAUCUCUUUUUCUUCCAUCGGGGGAUUGACUCUGGCAGCUUGCUCUCUCCAUCUGAGCCCGUAUUCCCUAAAGCUUUCAGUAGGCUUCUUUUCCAUCUUGGUGAGGGAGGAGCGACCUGGGGUAACUCCUGAUUUGUACUGAAAGUAUUGAACAAAAUCUUGAGCCAUGUCACCCAAUGUAGGCCACUUACCAACAUCUUGACGAAUAUACCAGUCUAAAGCUGCCCCAGUCAGGCUCUUACUGAAAUAUGUCAUCAACGGGUCAUCUUUCUCUCCAGUGCUUCUCAUUUCACUGCAAUAGACCCUCGAAUGGGAUACCGGAUCUCCACACCCAUCAUACAAGUUAAAUUUUGGCACUUUGAACCCCGCGAGCAGGCGAACGUCGGGGGACACAGACAGUUAUUUUUAAGUCAUGCUACCUUGGUCUUCCCUUACUUGUUUGUUUUUCAAGGAUUGUUCUAUGCCUUUCAGCCUCCUGGGUAUCCCAUCUUUCCCUUCUCUUCCUGUGAACCUUUCAUUUUCAACAUGCAACCUAUCCCGAGGGCUCUGUUUGUAUGAGUUGGGAACUUUGUGGGUAACCUCUGAGGGGUAAUAUUGGGCAUUGUGAUCUUUGAGUGGGUGUUCAUUGUUGGGGAUGGUGGAUAAGACAGGAGGGCAAUUUUUGGGAAAGGUAAUUGGAAGAUGAGUGACGGAGCUACUAGGGUGGUUGGGAAAACUAUGGUAAGCGGGUGAAUCUGGAGAGUAUGGGGGAUCAUCUGGCACUGUGACCGGUGUUUUGGUAAGGGUAGUAUUUAGGAAGCUAGGUGGUGGCGGGGGUGGUGCCUUCCCAGUCAUCCAGGCCUGAUACAUGUCCGACAUGUGUUGUAUUAACAUCCUCACCUCUUCAACCAACCCAUUGUCCUGUUCAACCAAUUGCUUUUGAGCUCCUGUAUCAACCAACUCAGUUUCAUUGUUGUCUGCCAUUGCCUUUGACUUUAUGUUGUAGAGAAGAGUUACCCUUUUAAAACCACAAACCAACCACCCUUCUGCUAUGAAUAUAACAAAAUGAAGCCAUCACGUUAGCGUUAGGGCAUUUAACAGCUAAAAAUAUCAUAUUUCGUGCCAUGCACCUAGCAAUAAUUAACGGUCCAAGAAUGACUUCGAGGGUCACAAGGUCACUUGGCAUCAUCCCAAUUUGUCCAUUUGAACAUUCUCCUUUCUUUUCUUUUCUCGCACUUCUUAGCUCGCUCAUUUUCUUUCUAUUUUUCUUUCUAAUUAUCGCUCUUUUUUCUUCUCAUUUCUCACAUCCCAUAAUUUCACCAUCUUUUCUUCUCUUUUUUUUUUCUUUUCCUUUUUCCUUUUUUUUUCUUUUAAUAAAUAAAAAAAUGAUUCGAUCGAACCCUAUGUAGGUUGUCUACGUAUCAUGACGCCGCAUGAAUCAGAUCUUUGCGUAGUUCGGGAAGAUUGGGAAUAAAGCAAACAAACUAUCGUUCUCUUUUUUUCUUUUUUUUUUUCUCUUUUUACCUCAGUGACUAAUCCGAUGAGAAAAGAGAAAUAAAAGAAGCAAAUCUUUUUUUUUGAAUUUUCUAGACUGAAUGCUCUAUAACCUAUUCUAAACUCAAGCUUAAUAAGCACAUACUUUUCUUUUUGAAACAAAUACUCUAUGGGAAAUUAUUAAGGAAAAUUCCUACAAGAGAAAAAAUAUUUUUUUUAUUUUUUUUCUUUUUUAAUAAGAAAAUCUAAAGGCUAGACCAAAGAAAAAUAUUUUGAAUUUUCACUUGAUAUCCUAAAGAAAAGACUUCGAAAUAAGAAAUGAAAAAGAUAAAAAAAAAAAUUAUUUUUGGAUUUGAAUUUUUGAUUACCUAAGGAAGAAACUCUGAAAAUAAACCAAAGAAAAAGUAUUGUUGUUAUCUUUUUCUUAUAUGUACAAUAUCCUAAAGUUCUAAUAAAAAUAAAAGAAUUAUUUUCAAGUUAUUUUUCAUCAACUUCCCAAAGAAAAACCUCAACAGAAAAUCUUUUUGAAUUUUGGAAUUAACACCUUAAAGAAAGCUUUUAAAGAAGCACUAAAAUAAAAUUCUCUCCCUCUUUUUUUGAAUUUUGAUCCUAAUAUACUAAAGGAAACAUAAAAAUAAUUCAUUUUAAGUUCUAGAUAUUAAUUGCCUAAAGGAGAAACAACCUCAAAUUUUUUCCAAUUCUAGAAUUAGUAAUCUAAAUAAAAUUUAUAACGGAAAUAUAAAAUGCAACAUCUCUCUUCUUUUUUUUUGCUUUUUUUUUUGGAUUUUUGACUUGUAACACAUUUCCAAAUACAAUAACAAAACACUCGGCAAAUUUAACUAGACUAUUACAAACUCAAAAAUUAACUAAAUGAUUGAAUAAUACUGUACAGGACUAGAAAGUAAAACAUGAACAAAAGACUUUAAAACAUAAACAACUCCUCAGGCAACUCCCGAAUGCAGUGAUCCUGGGGUAUCUGUCAUGUUCAAACUCCGGUAAAUAAAUCCACACCUGUAUGAGAAAAUUAAAACCAAAUAGGUUAAAGGCCUAGAACGCUAUGUGAGACAAAACCCCUUCAUGUUGGAAACAUGCAAGACAUGAUUUAGACAAUUUUUGCAAAAUGGCUUAUUUGGCCAAAAAAUGGCUAGAAGUGCAAAAUUUGGCUAAGACCCCGCAAAGCCAAGAAUCUAAGAUUUACUAGGAAGACCGGACCCUAUGUGGGUUGCCUACGUAUCACGCCCCGAAAGACGAGAAUCAGGUAUGCGUAGUUCGGGCCGAUUGGAUACGGGUGAGAAUUAAAAAAAACAACUAAUUUAGAGAAAACAGAUUUUUUGCUUUUUCUUGAAAAAUGAUGAAACAUGCAAAAUCAUUUUUUUUGGAUUUUCUUUUUCCCCUUUUUUUUGAUUUUCUGAUUUCUGACAAAUGAUGAAAAAGUACAAAAUCUUUUUUUGAAUUUUUCAUGUUUUUUUUUCUUAACAAAAAUAUGACAGAAAAUAUAAUCGGGCCCUACUUGCUUUAUUUUCACACUUCACCCUCUCUUUUUCUUUCUCUUUUUUUUUUCUUUUGUAUUUCUUUUUUCAUUGUUUUUUUUCAUUUCUUCAUUUACCCUCGGCUAUCAUUGGUCCGCCAAAUGACCCCUUUACCCUUGAAUAAAUGCAACAUGUAGCACAUAAGAUGCAUCAGAAUGGUCUUUUAUUUUUUGGGGUAUACCUGUCCUAGACGGACCCAACCCCUGUGUUGAGUCCCCUAAGUCAAGUACACAUGAUGCAAACAAGCGUUCCUACUAGGGAUCCGACAUGAGGCUGUCUUUUUCUAGAUUUAAAUCCUGGGGUGGUGUUCUAGACUUGGGUACCCGAGCGGACAAUUGGGGCCGAAGAGGGGGCGACGUACCGGGAGCACUGAAGUCUACCCGGCCUUGUCGCUUGCCCAGCCUCGUUCUAUUUGGUAUAAUUUUUACAGAAAAAGUGGGUCACGCGAACGUGUGCACCAUUUUCAGAAGACUUAGAGGGGUGGCAUAAGAAGACAGUUAUAUACAAUUCAAACAGUAUUAAAGCGGUAAACAGAUAGCAUUUAGCACAAAAGGUUCACAGAAUACAGUAAUAUCAACAAUAAAUAAAGCCAAGCAAAAUCAUAUUAACAAGCUCGAAUUCUGAACCCCGAACCAGAGAUUCUAGGUUCGUCUCCCCAGCAGAGUCGCCAGAGCUAUCACACCUCCUUUUGCUUACCCUCCCCCGGAAGAGUGUAUAUAAGGGAGUUUUUCCAAUUAAAGGAAAAUCGAAAUGAGAUUUAUUUAUUUAAAGAUUCAGAGUCGCCACUUGGGAGAUUUAUGGUGUCCCAAGUCACCGGUUCAAAUCCCGAAUCGAGGAAAAAGAUUGACUCUGUUUAACAGUCCGCGAACCAGAAAUCCGAGUAAGGAAUUCUGUUAACCCGGGAGAAGGUGUUAGGCAUUCCCGAGUUCCGUGGUUCUAGCACAGUCGCUUUGAUUAUACUUGGCUUACUAAAUUAUCUAAUUACUUAUUUUUAAACCUAUGUGCAUCUACCCCGUUAACCGCUUUUAUUUGUUUAAUUACUAUUAAUUAUGGAAUUAUUUUUAAAAAAUGAGUCACGCGCGUGUACUCAUUUCAUUUGGCGCGUCAAAAUCGUGUCACGCAUAUGUAUCCACAAUUAAUCACGUCUUAUAUUAAUAAGAUUGUUUCACCCAAAAUUGCGUGAACGCAUACCUUGGUUUUAAUUUCUGGAAUCGUAACUAUGUCACGCGAACGUGUACACAACCACGAUAAUUUAUUAAUUAGAUUAGUGCCUAUAGCAUACUACCGUGCUCUUCAGCACAUUAGGUUAUUUAUGAGUGUUUAACCCACUUUUAGUGAGAAAACUAGCUACAUGGCAACUGCAACUUAGGAAUAUACUCAUAUGAGCCUUACAAGAAUGUGGUCAACUCUUUUAAAACUUCAAGCAUGAAAAAUCAGUACCAAUAUCCACAUUAACUUCACCUUAAUUUAACACUUAAACUAGAUAUCACUCUGCCUCAGAUCAAUCAUCGCAAGGCAUAUGUUUGUAAAGCAUAACGUAGUUACACAUACAAGCACAUUAAAGUCUACAAUUAUUCAACAGAUGAAAGUAAAAGGCAAAUUCAUAAACAACAACCUAUAUUAGUAAAAAUAGUUAUUGGAGUAACGUUCAUGUGUGUAUCAAAGUUCUAACAACUCAAUAUAAGGAAGCAAAUAGCUAACAUUUCCUCAACAAAAACCCAAUUUUUUGGUUUGCAAAACUCAAAAAAAAAUGUGUAGUAGAUAAAACUGGUCAUUUACAAAGUAGCACGUACCCUUUUUCUUUUCUUGGAGGGCAUGAUAGCAAAAUUGACUCUACUGCUUCAGUAAUUAGUAUUUUUCAGCAAAAUACAAAAACAACGAGAUUCUAGCAAGGACCACGAACGCGAUUUUGACCGGAGAACCUCCGACAACAUACUCGACGAUAACCUCGACGGACCUGACACGACGGCCUGAACAGAUUCACUCGACAUGGAUUUGGGUAGCAAUUUCGAGCUGACUUUCGCACUGAUUUGAGUUAGUUUCAGGGAGUUUUGGAGCUAGGUUUACCACUGGGUUCAAACCCGGUUCGCCGGAUUCUCUGGAAAGUCGUUGGAAUCACACAUUUCCGGUCAGAUUUGGUUCCAUCUGUAUGUGCGCCCUACUGUUUCUCGGUAGCAAAACGGGGAAGGGUCGUGGGUUGAUUUUUCUGGUUUUCAAUCGGAGGAGAGGAAGCAGCAAUGAUGGGUUCUUCGGCGUAGGGCUUUGGUCGUUUGGAGAAGACGAUGGGCAGGGGGGUCUCUUGUAAAGGCUGC
rnacentral:lncRNA from 1 species